GACGAACGCUGGCGGCGUGCUUAACACAUGCAAGUCGAACGGAAACGCCCUGCUUUUGUGGGGUGCUCGAGUGGCGAACGGGUGAGUAACCCGUGAGUAACCUGCCCUUGACUUUGGGAUAACUUCAGGAAACUGGGGCUCAUAUCCGAUAGGAGCUCCUGCUGCAUGGUGGGGGUUGGAAAGUUUCGGCGGUUGGGGCUGGACUCGCGGCUUAUCAGCUUGUUGGUGGGGUAGUGGAUUACCAAGGGUUUGACGGGUAGCCGGCAUGGGAGGGUGACCGGCCACCUGGGGACUACGGGAGGGCGCAGACGCCAACGGGGGGCAGCGGGGGGAAGUAUUGUACAAUGGGCGGGAGCCUGAUGCAGCAACGCCGCGGGCGGGAUGACGGCCUGCGGGUUGUAAACCGCUUUCGCCUGUGACGAAGGGUGAGUGACGGUAAUGGGUAAAGAAGCACCGGCUAACUACGUG
rnacentral:rRNA from 1 species